CCCAGACUCCUACGGGAGGCAGCAGUGGGGGAUAUUGCACAAUGGGGGAAACCCUGAUGCAGCGACGCCGCGUGGGCGAAGAAGUAUUUCGGUAUGUAAAGCCCUCUCGGCAGGGAAGAAAAGCGAACAGGUUCGCCUGGACGGUACCUGACUAAGAAGCCCCGGCUAACUACGUGCCAGCCGCCGCGGUAAUACGUAGGGGGCAAGCGUUAUCCGGAUUCACUGGGUGUAAAGGGAGCGUAGACGGCGACGCAAGUCUGGAGUGAAAGCCCGGGGCCCAACCCCGGGACUGCUCUGGAAACUGCGUCGCUGGAGUACGGGAGGGGCAGGCGGAAUUCCUGGUGUAGCGGUGAAAUGCGUAGAUAUCAGGAGGAACACCGGCGGCGAAGGCGGCCUGCUGGACCGUGACUGACGCUGAGGCUCGAAAGCGUGGGGAGCAAACAGGAUUAGAUACCCCCGUAA
rnacentral:rRNA from 1 species